AAACGACUCUCGGCAACGGAUAUCUCGGCUCUCGCAUCGAUGAAGAACGUAGCGAAAUGCGAUACUUGGUGUGAAUUGCAGAAUCCCGUGAACCAUCGAGUCUUUGAACGCAAGUUGCGCCCGAAGCCAUCCGGCCGAGGGCACGUCUGCCUGGGCGU
rnacentral:rRNA from 1 species